rnacentral:rRNA from 1 species
AGCAGCCGCGGUAAUUCCAGCUCCAAUAGCGUAUAUUAAAGUUGUUGCAGUUAAAAAGCUCGUAGUUGAAUUUCGGGAUCAAUUCGUCGGUCGUGCUUUUUGGUACGUACUGGCGUUAUUGGUUUCUCCCUUCUGACGAACCAUGAUGUCAUUAAUUUGGUGUUAUGGGGGUUUAAGACUGUUACUUUGAAAAAAUUAGAGUGUUUAAAGCAGGCAUUAGCUUGAAUACAUUAGCAUGGAAUAAUGAAAUAGGACGUUCGAACCUAUUUUGUUGGUUUCUAGGAUCAACGUAAUGAUUAAUAGGGAUAGUUGGGGGCAUUAGUAUUCAAUUGUCAGAGGUGAAAUUCUUGGAUUUAUUGAAGACUAACUACUGCGAAAGCAUUUGCCAAGGAUGUUUUCAUUAAUCAAGAACGAAAGUUAGGGGAUCGAAGACGAUCAGAUACCGUCGUAGUCUUAACCAUAAACUAUGCCGACUAGGGAUCGGAUGAUGUUAAUUUUUUAAUGACUCAUUCGGCGCCUU